rnacentral:lncRNA from 1 species
GAUAAACAAGAGUUGCAGAGAAAAAUAAUGUAAAAAAAAUGGAGUCGAGGAAGAAGCAAGAAGAAGAAGAAAGAAAGAUCCCCUUUUUUCCUGCCCCUCCUGUUUCUGCUAUGGUGCUACCUGUCUAUGUCACUCAGGCCCAUGCAUAUGGGCGUGUCAGACCCCCUCUCCACGCUAGGCGGCCAUUUAAUUCCCUCAGCGCACAUGCGAGCAGGGCUGCGAAUUGACUGGACCAACUCCUCUCCCUCACAUCACAUCACCGGGCUGGGCUUCUUCCUGCUGGGUUUGGGCUCGUGGGUAAUCCAUCUGGCCCGGCACGUCUGGGUCGAGACCUGAGAUGCUGAGUUGGUCAGCCUAAGGAGGGCUUGAUGGGAUUUGGGCCAUUGUUCUCCUCUUGGGUCCGGCCUCGCCCAGAGUAGAGGAAGGCCAACGGUCAUCAGUCAUCAUAGAGCCCAAGAUGCCAACAUUGCUCUCAGGCUGUCAUUAUUUUAUUUUAUCACACCUAAGAUGCUACUAUUAUCUACAGGGAACAUGUUAUGAGUGUAUGCAGAUUUUAUUUUUUACAUUUAUGAUAUUUGGAUUUAUUAUCCAGC